CCGCACGCGUCGGGAGAGCGCGUGGCCGCCGCUGUGCGAAAAAUCAGCGGACGCCGCGCCGCCGAAGGGGCACACCCGCAAACUCUCAGGCAAAAGGACCGGCCGCGUCGAG
rnacentral:ncRNA from 2 species